rnacentral:rRNA from 1 species
UACGUAGGGUGCAGGCGUUAAUCGGAAUUACUGGGCGUAAAGCGUGCGCAGGCGGUUUCUUAAGUCAGAUGUGAAAGCCCCGGGCUUAACCUGGGAACUGCGUUUGAAACUGGGAGACUAGAGUGUGGCAGAGGGGGGUGGAAUUCCACGUGUAGCAGUGAAAUGCGUAGAUAUGUGGAGGAACACCGAUGGCGAAGGCAGCCCCCUGGGAUAACACUGACGCUCAUGCACGAAAGCGUGGGGAGCAAACAGG